UACUAAGCAACCACGAACUGCUGCAGGUGA
rnacentral:piRNA from 1 species